GCGAGAGCGACUGCACAGAAAAGCAUUCUGCCUUCCCCCUUCCUUCUAAAACACAUUAAGCGUUCGAUGCGCGUCGUGAGAUAUCGUUAAUUCACCGGCAUUGAACCCCAGGGGUUGGUUGAAUCAGCUUCAAGGGUCCAAGAGAUGUACAAAGUGGUGGCUGACAGAUGAACACGGCACGAGACAAAGUGACAGUUGUCCCCGGGGAGUACGACAGAGCAUCUCCCCACGUCACCAUUCUCUCGCUACACACUGCCCAACCACGUCCGACCCCAGACUGACGCCGUAUAGCGCGUCAAACUUCGUGGCCGAGCGCGGGUUCUUUGUGAAAGCGUGUGUUGAAAAGGAGCGAGCGAGGUCAGAAGGGAGGAGGUUUCUGGGUGUUUGAAUGUGUGUAAAUGAUGAACAGAGAUGGUGAUUGUGCCCAUGUGUCGUAAAUGACGGCCAUUGUGCUGGAGGGGAAGUACCGGUACUACCUCUGUUUACAAAGGAAUCAUUACUGUAUUGACGUGACUAGAUUGUACUGUGCUGUGGGAGAAACGAGCUUUUGGAAAACAAAUAUUGUAGUGUGUCAUGAUAGACGUGGGAAAUAAAUAAAUGUGUGAAAUUGAAAAUAUAACAAGCGCAGCAGUCACCUUGACAUGUGUAUAUACGCAAAAGUGGUUAAAAAGUCUCCCACCAUGAUACACACUAGUUGUGAUUCAUUCAAACUUGACUGUACAUGAUCGUUUUUCAUACCUAUUCUGCCCAGGAGAGACUGACCAAUGUCCUUGAUGUCAUUGUAUUCAUGAAGCAUAUCAAUAUGACAGUCCAGCUCUUCCACUUUGUAUCCCCUAGAGAAACACAGUUUUAUUUUAUCAGAAUGAAGACUUGAAAAUGGAUUUCAUGAUCUUAUCUUUCCCUUGAAAUAAAUACUGAAAUAA